GACGAACGCUGGCGGCGUGCUUAACACAUGCAAGUCGAGCGGUAAGGCCCUUUCGGGGGUACACGAGCGGCGAACGGGUGAGUAACACGUGGGUGACCUGCCUCUAGCUCUGGGAUAAGCCUGGGAAGCUGGGUCUAAUACCGGAUAUGACCUCGCGGUGCAUGUUGCGGGGUGGAAAGCCUUGUGCGGCUAGGGGAUGGGCCCGCGGCCUAUCAGCUUGUUGGUGGGGUGANGGCCUACCAAGGCGACGACGGGUAGCCGGCCUGAGAGGGCGACCGGCCACACUGGGACUGAGACACGGCCCAGACUCCUACGGGAGGCAGCAGUGGGGAAUCUUGCGCAAUGGGCGAAAGCCUGACGCAGCGACGCCGCGUGAGGGAUGACGGCCUCGG
rnacentral:rRNA from 1 species